GAGUUUGAUCCUGGCUCAGAUUGAACGCUGGCGGCAUGCCUUACACAUGCAAGUCGAACGGCAGCACGGGAGCUUGCUCCUGGUGGCGAGUGGCGAACGGGUGAGUAAUGCAUCGGAACGUAUCCUGGAGUGGGGGAUAACGUAGCGAAAGUUACGCUAAUACCGCAUAUUCUGUGAGCAGGAAAGCGGGGGAUCUUCGGGCCUCGCGCUCUUGGAGCGGCCGAUGUCGGAUUAGCUAGUUGGUGAGGUAAAGGCUCACCAAGGCGACGAUCCGUAGUAGGUCUGAGAGGAUGAUCUGCCACACUGGAACUGAGACACGGUCCAGACUCCUACGGGAGGCAGCAGUGGGAAUUUUGGACAAUGGGGGCAACCCUGAUCCAGCCAUGCCGCGUGAGUGAAGAAGGCC
rnacentral:rRNA from 1 species